GAUUCUUCGGCGCAUCGUCCUCUCCUGCAGCUUAUUGCCCAAUCGGCCAGUUGACUCCGCAACUCCGAUAUCCUUGGCACAAUACCCGCUUUUCUUGGCCCGAUGCCCGAGUCCACGGCCCGAAGCCUUCUGUCGAUACAUCGACCUAUCCACCGGCCCGACGUCCAAUCUUCUGACAUGUUCCUCCGGCACAACAUCA
rnacentral:lncRNA from 1 species